CUUGUUUAGAGUAUCAUUUAAAUUGGAGUUCAUUGACUUAUGAAAUAACCUAAGUUUUUGCCCUUUUAUUGGAUUUACCUAAACCUAUUUCGCUGAAUCCCUUCUUCUCACCUAAUGCCCCUUCUCAUCAUCUCCUUCGUUCAACUCCCUCUUCCAUCUCAUGAUCUUGCCGCGCCGCUCGAUUGCCGGUUGUCAUCGCCUGAUUGCCGACGCUACCUCCUUGCUGAAGGCUAGAUUUGUGACGCUGCCGGUCGAGUGGGAGACGUUGAUUUCCUCCCAUACCCUAGCUUACAACGCCGAUGCCAUGUUCUAAUUUUGGCUGCCACUGUGCCGAUCAUCGAUCGCCGAUGCCGGCAGGUUGGCCGUCACCAGUGAAGCUCUCCCUCCAUGGCCGACGUUCGAUCACUGUCGUUGUCUGCCUCUUUUCCAUCCUCUCUGAGUCGCCACUCUUCCACACAUUUACGGUCGUGAGCAAUUAUUGUUGCUACCACAGGGAGGUCACCACCUCCUUUCUUCUCUGGAUCUCGCCGACAAAACCUAUUCCUGCUCUCCACCGCUGGCCAUAGUACUUGAGCAUCGCCUUUUGUUGUUGUUGUCCUGCGAUCAUCGCCGCUUGAACCACAGUCACAUCCAAAUCGCUGAUGCUGCUGUGAACCAUUAGCACGAGUUUGAGUUCUUUUCCCUCUCUAGAUUUGGGGAAGAGAGCGAUCAUUGGCAACACCAUCCUCUCUUCAGAUCUGAAGGGGAUCCAUUUCCUCACAACAUCUGGUUUCUUCACCGAAUCUGAUUUGGGACUUAAAUUAGAGACAAGCGUCUCAGCGUGAGAUUUAUUUUAGCACGAUCAACAUUAAAGGAGGGUAUUUCUUCCUUGGCCUCUUUAGUUAUUUGAACUUAUGCAUAGUUGUUUUUAAUUGAUGUAUUAGGUUGCUUUACCUUAAAUCUAUUCGUAUUGUUGCUUGAUACUUGUGCUUGAUCUUUGAGAUGAUCUAUUUAUUUCAUAUACAGUCUUAGCUUUUGGA